rnacentral:RNase_P_RNA from 2 species
UGGAGUGGGCGAGGCGGUUGCUCCUUCUUCUCCUACCGAGAAGAAAGGGGAGGAAAGUCCGAACUCCGAAGGGCAGGAUGGUCGCUAACGGCGACUCCGGGCGACCGGUGGAAAGUGCCACAGAAAACACACCGCCGAAGGGGAGGGCGCAAGUUUUCCCCUGGCAAGGGUGAAAUGGCGAGGUAAGAGCUCACCGCCCUGAUGGUGACAUCAGGGGCAGGGUAAACCCCAUCCGGAGCAAGACCAAACGAGCCCCGAAGUGGGAUGGCCCGUCCCGAGGGGUGGGUAGGUCGCUAGACCUCUUGAGCAAUCAAGAGGGGAGACAAAUAACCGCCCCCUGCCGCAAGGCGGGAGACAGAAUUCGGCUUAUGACCCGCUCCAACCG